UACGUAGGGUGCGAGCGUUAAUCGGAAUUACUGGGCGUAAAGCGUGCGCAGGCGGUUCGUUGUGUCGGCGGGGAAAGCCCCGGGCUCAACCUGGGAAUGGCCGUUGAAACUGGCGAACUGGAGUGUGGCAGAGGGGGGUGGAAUUCCGCGUGUAGCAGUGAAAUGCGUAGAGAUGCGGAGGAACGCCGAUGGCGAAGGCAGCCCCCUGGGCUGACACUGACGCUCAGGCACGAAAGCGUGGGGAGCAAACAGG
rnacentral:rRNA from 1 species